rnacentral:rRNA from 1 species
GACGAACGCUGGCGGCGUGCUUAACACAUGCAAGUCGAACGGAAAGGCCCUGCUUUUGUGGUGUGCUCGAUUGGCGAACGGGUGAGUAACACGUGAGUAACCUGCCCUUGACUUUGGGAUAACUUCAGGAAACUGGGGCUACUACCGUAUAGGAUCUCCUGCUGCAUUGUGGGGGUUGGAAAGUUUCGGCGGUUGGGGUUGGACUCGCGGCUUAUCAGCUUGUUGGUGGGGUAGUGGCUUACCAAGGCUUUGACGGGUAGCCGGCCUGAGAGGGUGACCGGCCACAUGGGGACUGAGAUACGGCGCAGACUCGUACGGGAGGCAGCAGUGGGGAAUAUUGCACAAUGGGCGGAAGCCUGAGGAAGCAACGCCGCGUGCGGGAUGACGGCUUUCGGGUUGUAAACCGCUUUAGCCUGUGACGAAGCGUGAGUGACGGUAAUGGGUAAAGAAGCACCGGCUAACUACGUG